rnacentral:rRNA from 1 species
AGAGCGAACGCUGGCGGCAGGCUUAACACAUGCAAGUCGAGCGGGCGUAGCAAUACGUCAGCGGCAGACGGGUGAGUAACGCGUGGGAACAUACCUUUUGGUUCGGAACAACCCAGGGAAACUUGGGCUAAUACCGGAUAAGCCCUUACGGGGAAAGAUUUAUCGCCGAAAGAUUGGCCCGCGUCUGAUUAGCUAGUUGGUGAGGUAACGGCUCACCAAGGCGACGAUCAGUAGCUGGUCUGAGAGGAUGAUCAGCCACAUUGGGACUGAGACACGGCCCAAACUCCUACGGGAGGCAGCAGUGGGGAAUAUUGGACAAUGGGCGCAAGCCUGAUCCAGCCAUGCCGCGUGAGUGAUGAAGGCCCUAGGGUUGUAAAGCUCUUUUGUGCGGGAAGAUAAUGACGGUACCGACAAGAAUAAGCCCCGGCUAACUUCGCGCCAGCAGCCGC